rnacentral:pre_miRNA from 1 species
GUACUACUCCCUCCGUCCGAAAAUACUUGUCAUCAAAAUGGAUAAAAAAGAUGUAUCUAGAACUAAUAUACAUCUAGAUACAUCCCCUUUUAUUCAUUUUGAUGACAAAUAUUUCCAGACGGAGGGAGUACUAU